rnacentral:rRNA from 1 species
AUUGAACGCUGGCGGCAUGCCUUACACAUGCAAGUCGAACGGUAACAGGUCUUCGGAUGCUGACGAGUGGCGAACGGGUGAGUAAUACAUCGGAACGUGCCUAGUAGUGGGGGAUAACUACUCGAAAGAGUGGCUAAUACCGCAUGAGAUCUACGGAUGAAAGCAGGGGAUCGCAAGACCUUGUGCUACUAGAGCGGCCGAUGGCAGGUUAGGUAGUUGGUGGGAUAAAAGCUUACCAAGCCGACGAUCUGUAGCUGGUCUGAGAGGACGAUCAGCCACACUGGGACUGAGACACGGCCCAGACUCCUACGGGAGGCAGCAGUGGGGAAUUUUGGACAAUGGGCGGAAGCCUGAUCCAGCAAUGCCGCGUGCAGGAUGAAGGCCUUCGGGUUGUAAACUGCUUUGUACGGAACGAAAAGCCCCGGGUUAAUACCCUGGGGUCAUGACGGUACCGUAAGAAUAAGCACCGGCUAACUACGUGCCAGCCGCCGCAGUAA